UACGGGGGGAGCAAGCGUUGUUCGGAUUUACUGGGCGUAAAGGGCGCGUAGGCGGCGCAACAAGUCACUUGUGAAAUCUCCGGGCUUAACCCGGAGCGGCCAAGUGAUACUGUCGUGCUAGAGUGCGGAAGGGGCUACUGGAAUUCUCGGUGUAGCGGUGAAAUGCGCAGAUAUCAGGAGGAACACCGGUGGCGAAGGCGGGUCUCUGGGCCGAAAUUGACGCUGAGGAGCGAAAGCGUGGGGAGCAAACAGG
rnacentral:rRNA from 1 species